UGUAAACACAACCAGUACACCAGACAAUGCAACUUCACCACAAGUAAACACACCUGGUACACCAGAAAACACAACUUCACCACAUGUAAACACAACUGGUACACCAGAAAACACUUCACCACACGUUAACACAACCAGUACACCAGAAAACACAACUCCUCCAUACGGAAACACACCUGGUACGUCAGAAAACACACCUCCGCCACAUGUAAGCACACCUGGUACACCAGACAAUGCAACUUCGCCACACAUAAACUCAACCGGUACACCAGAAAACUCACCUUCACCUCCUGCAAACUCAAGUCCUCCUCCUCCCAUCUCAAGCUCAGUGCCUUCUGGAGUGACACCGGCAGCACCAGUUACAAUACCUUCUACACCUGCUUCACCCAGACCAAUAGUUGUUCUUCAGUUCAGUCUGAAUCAAGAUUUUAAUGAGGACCUAAAAAAUAAGACAUCUGAAGCUUUUCAAAGCUUGGCAAAGAACAUAACCACACAGCUGGACACUGUGUACAGGAAUAAGUUUGGAGAUGCCUUCAAUCGUACAGAAAUCACAGAUUUCAGGAGCGGGUCAGUGAUCGUCGAUUCUACCUUGAUCUUUAACAAUCUGACAGUUGUUCCAAACACCAGUGAAGUCACCAACACUCUGAAGGCUGCAGCAAACACUUCUGGCUUUUCUCUCCCUGUCAACACCUCUACAAUUGUGGCUUCAGCUGAUACUUUAACAACUGCAUCUCCUGUGAGCACAACUGCACCUCCUGCAAUAACAACUGCACCUGUGAACCUAACUGCACCUCCUGCGAACUCAACUGCACCUCCUUUGAACACAACUGCACUUGUGAACCUAACUGCACUUGUGAACCUAACUGCACCUCCUGCGAACACAACUGCACAU